rnacentral:rRNA from 1 species
CAGUCGCCGCGGGAAUACGCAGGGUGCGAGCGUUAAUCGGAAUUACUGGGCGUAAAGCGUGCGCAGGCGGUUUUGUAAGACAGGCGUGAAAUCCCCGGGCUCAACCUGGGAAUGGCGCUUGUGACUCCAAAGCUAGAGUGCGGCAGAGGGGGAUGGAAUUCCGCGUGUAGCAGUGAAAUGCGUAGAUAUGCGGAGGAACACCGAUGGCGAAGGCAAUCCCCUGGGCCUGCACUGACGCUCAUGCACGAAAGCGUGGGGAGCAAACAGGAUUAGAGACCCCUGUAGUCCCUGUCUCUUAUAC